GACGAACGCUGGCGGCGGGCUUAACACAUGCAAGUCGAACGGAAAGGCCCUGCUUUUGUGGGGUGCUCGAGUGGCGAACGGGUGAGUAACACGUGAGUAACCUGCCCUUGACUUUGGUAUAACUUCAGGAAACUGGGGCUACUACCGUAUAGGAGCUCCUGCUGCAUGGUGGGGGUUGGAAAGUUUCGGCUGUUGGGGAUGGACUCGCGGCUUAUCAGCUUGUUGGUGGGGGAGUGGCUUACCAAGGCUUUGACGGGUAGCCGGACUGGGAGGGAGACCGGCCACAGUGGGCCUGGGAUAGGGGCAGGAGUCAUACGGGAGGAAGGAGUGGGGAAUAUUGCACACUGGGCGGAAGCCUGAUGCAGCGACGCCGCGUGCGGGAUGACGGCUUUCGGGUUGUAAACCGCUUUCGCCUGUGACGCAGCGUGAGUGACGGUACUGGGUAAAGAAGCACCGGCUAACUACGU
rnacentral:rRNA from 1 species